AUUCCUUUCUUGCGUGCCACUUUCUUUGCCCACACUUAAAUAUAUAUAUAUAUAUAUAUAUAUAUACUCUCUGAGUUUGACCCCGAACCGAGCACCAAGGUGUUUGGAGAGAGAGGGAGAGAAGAGAGAAAAGAAAAGAAAGGAAAGGGGGAAAAUGGAUCACGCGGCGGAGGCAAACAGGACGGACUUGAUGACAAUAACAAGGUUCGUGCUGAAUGAGCAGUCGAAGUACCCAGAGUCACGCGGCGAUUUCACCAUCUUGCUUAGUAACAUUGUUCUCGGCUGCAAGUUCGUCUGCACUGCUGUCAACAAGGCAGGUCUUGCCAAACUCAUUGGACUUGCUGGAGAGACCAAUGUUCAGGGUGAAGAGCAAAAGAAACUAGAUGUGCUUUCAAAUGACGUUUUUGUCAAGGCUCUGAUAAGCAGUGGCCGAACAUGCAUCCUUGUAUCAGAAGAGGAUGAACUGGCAACAUUUGUGGAGCCAUCUAAGCGUGGAAGGUAUGCUGUUGUUUUUGAUCCACUGGAUGGAUCCUCCAACAUUGAUUGCGGAGUUUCAAUUGGAACUAUCUUUGGGAUUUAUAUGGUGAAAGAUAGUAUUGAACCAACUCUAGAUGAGGUUUUGCAACCUGGGAAGAAUAUGUUGGCAGCAGGCUAUUGCAUGUAUGGGAGCUCUUGCACGUUUGUGUUGAGCACUGGAGCUGGUGUUAAUGGCUUCACCCUUGAUCCAUCUCUUGGGGAGUUCAUUCUAACUCACCCAGAUAUCAAGUAUUGUGACAGAAUUGGCUUCAGGAUGAUCAUGCAUGUGUUCUUUCUUAAAUGGAAGAGGGCUCAAUAUUUUAAUUCACAUAUAUGUUACAAGGGACACAUAUUGGCUCUGUAUAUAGCAUCUCUGGUUUAUUUUGGAGUAUCUAGAACUUGUAUGUCAUAUGCCUUUCUCCACAGAUUCCAAAGAAAGGAAAGAUUUAUUCAGUAAACGAAGGAAAUGCUAAGAACUGGGAUGGUCCAACAGCUAAGUAUGUGGAAAGGUGCAAGUUUCCAAAAGAUGGUUCUUCACCAAAGUCUCUAAGAUACAUUGGAAGCAUGGUAGCUGAUGUCCAUCGCACAUUACUCUAUGGGGGUAUCUUUUUGUAUCCAGCUGACAAGAAGAGCCCAAAUGGGAAACUGCGUGUUCUCUAUGAAGUCUUUCCAAUGUCAUUCUUGAUGGAACAAGCAGGAGGCCAGGCUUUCACCGGCAAGCAACGGGCGCUUGACUUGGUUCCAAACGACAUACAUGAGCGAUCUCCAAUAUUUCUUGGCAGCUACGAGGAUGUUGAGGAAGUCAAAGCUCUUUAUGCUGCUGAAGAUAAGAAAUAAAUUCAUAAGUUUUAUUUUAUUAUUACUACCCACAUAGCCUUAGCAAUUUAUGCAGUUACUCCAAAAUAUUUGGGGUCUUCAUUGCAAAAUCAGGGUCUAGGCCAAUUUAAUCAUCCAUCCAUAAGAUAAACUCUUUUUGAGGUUUCUUUGUAAUGAGAUGAUACAUUCUAUUGAUGGAUAAAUAAGGUCAAGUUUAUACACUUA